AACCAAUGAACUUGAAUAAGUGUAUACUUUGAAAGUAUAAUAAAGAAAUAGAAAUUUUCUAUUGGUUU
rnacentral:tRNA from 1 species